ACAAUGAAUGCUCUACUGGACCAGGUAUUUGUUUCGCCAUAAAGUUCAGAUGUUCAUUUGAAUCAACUUUCACAUUUUAUACCGCCUAAUGUAUGGCCUUUGUGGUCUCGUCCGAGCUAAUUUUGUAGUUAUUUAAUCGUUGCCUACAAGUUAAAUAUGUAGCUUUUACCAUUGUUCUGAACCUCAUGUAUCUGAUUCAUUUUACAGUUCAUAGUCAUGCAAAAUGAUGGAUCUGAUAGGGCUGCCCAUUCAUUGUAGGUGUGGGGAAUUCAAAAGGCAAGGCUACUGAAGAUGACAAAGUUUCAGAUGUAGCUACAGGUAUAUGCUACGCUAUGAAGUUAAGCUCUUCAAAACUAUUAUGCUACAGGUCUCAUCCGAAGCUAGAAAAUUUAAAGAUGCCAAAUAUAAUGAUUUACUAAAAAACAAUAUACAUCUAUAUUGUUAGCAUAGUUCUUGCAUAAUAUGUUUUUGAGGAUGAUGGAGUAUCUCUUGCUGAAAUAGCCACCCCAACUAACAUGACAGGAGGAGCUGUCUUGGAUAAUAGCAAAGAAACAAGACAAAUACCUCCAAUUGGCCGCAAAAAGACAUUGACUAACGAACAAAGGGAUCGUAUAAACGCAAAGAGGCGGGCUUCUUAUCGGAAGAAGAAAGAUAUGCUUAACCCAAACGAGAAGACAACUCACCAAACGACGACAGGUAAGAUUGUGAUAUGUUUCGUCAUUCUUUUUAGUAUGAAAAUGUGCUGCCUUAUUCUGGAAUGCUAACUCUCAUGUCACAAUCCUCUUUAAUGAUAUCACGAAUGUUCAUCAACCUUGCCAUGUGAUACCAGGUACACUUUUUGAAAACAAGCUAUGGGUUUUCUUAUGUAAGUUGUUGAUGGAUGAUAAAAAUUUAUGUUUCAUCUUUAUGAUAGCACUACAUGCGUUAUUUUUCGUAUGACACCAGGAGCUGACAUGUAAAGUAUUAAACAAACAAGGCAGACACCGGCAAUUGGACGCAAUGAAAUGUUGAGUGACAAAAAAAUAAGCUUAUAACCUCAAACAUGCAAGCUUGUUGUGAUGCAUCGUUGUCGUUAUCAUGUACCCUUAAUCAAGAUGAAAAUGUGGAUCCCCUUACGAUAUCAGGUAACCUUCUCAUCUAUUUAAGUUUCAACCUAAUGAUAAAGCAUUGUACAUGGGUAAUGUCUUUUUAGUAAAAUGGAUUGUUUCCUUUGUUCAAAUAGCUAACCCAACUAAUAUGACACACCAACUAACAUCACAGGAGGAGCUGUCUUGAAUAAUAGCAAAGAAACAAGACAAAUACCUCCAAUUGUCCGCAAAAACACCUUGACUGAAGAACAAAGGGAACAUAUAAAUGCAAAGAGGCGGGCUUUUUAUCGGAAGAAAAAAGAUAUGCUUAACCCAGACGAGAAGACAACUCACCAAACGACGACAAGUAAGAUUGUGAUAUGUUUCGUCAUUCUUUUUAGUAUGAAAAUGUGAUGCCUUAUUCUGGAAUGUUGACUCUCAUGUCACAGGGCUCUUUAAUGAUAUCACGAAUGUUCAUCAACCUUGCCAUGUGAUACGAAGUACACUUUUUGAAAACAAGCUAUGGGUUUUCUUAUGUAGGUUGUUGAUGGACGAUAAAAAUUUAUGUUUCAUCUUUAUGAUAGUACCACAUACGUUAAUUUUCGUAUGACACCAGGAGCUGACAUGGAAAAUAUUAAACAAGCAAGGCAGACACCGCCAAUUGGACGCAAUGAAAUGUUGAGUGACAAAAAAAUAAGCUUAUAACCUCAAACAUGN
rnacentral:lncRNA from 1 species